rnacentral:rRNA from 1 species
UACGUAGGGGGCGAGCGUUGUCCGAAGUUACUGGGCGUAAAGGGCGCGUAGGCGGUCAGCACAAGUCAGUUGUGAAAUCUCCGGGCUUAACUCGGAAAGGUCAACUGAUACUGUGCGACUAGAGUGCAGAAGGGGCAACUGGAAUUCUCGGUGUAGCGGUGAAAUGCGUAGAUAUCGAGAGGAACACCUGCGGCGAAGGCGGGUUGCUGGGCUGACACUGACGCUGAUGCGCGAAAGCCAGGGGAGCGAACGGG